GAUGAACGCUGGCGGCGUGCCUAAUACAUGCAAGUCGAGCGAAUGGAUUAAGAGCUUGCUCUUAUGAAGUUAGCGGCGGACGGGUGAGUAACACGUGGGUAACCUGCCCAUAAGACUGGGAUAACUCCGGGAAACCGGGGCUAAUACCGGAUAACAUUUUGAACCGCAUGGUUCGAAAUUGAAAGGCGGCUUCGGCUGUCACUUAUGGAUGGCCCCGCGUCGCAUUAGCUAGUUGGUGAGGUAACGGGUCACCAAGGCAACGAUGCGUAGCCGGCCUGAGAGGGUGAUCCGCCACACUGGGACUCAGACACGGCCCAGACUCCUACGGGAGGCAGCAGUAGGGAAUCUUCCGCAAUGGACGAAAGUCUGACGGAGCAACGCCGCGUGAGUGAUGAAGGCUUUCGGGUCGUAAAACUCUGUUGUUAGGGAAGAACAAGUGCUAGUUGAAUAAGCUGGCACCUUGACGGUACCUAACCAGAAAGCCACGGCUAACUACGUGCCAGCCGCCGCCGUAA
rnacentral:rRNA from 1 species